rnacentral:rRNA from 1 species
AUGAAGCCGGAAUCGCUAGUAAUCGCGGAUCAGAAUGCCGCGGUGAAUACGUUCCCGGGUCUUGUACACACCGCCCGUCACACCAUGGGAGUCGGAAAUGCCCGAAGUCUGUGACCCAACCGCAAGGGAGGGAGCAGCCGAAGGCAGGUCGGAUGACUGGGGUGAAGUCGUAACAAGGUAAC